rnacentral:rRNA from 1 species
UACGGAGGGGGCGAGCGUUGUUCGGAAUUACUGGGCGUAAAGGGCGCGUAGGCGGCCUUCUAAGUCGAACGUGAAAUCCCCGGGCUCAACCCGGGAACUGCGUCCGAUACUGGAAGGCUUGAAUCCGGGAGAGGGAUGUGGAAUUCCAGGUGUAGCGGUGAAAUGCGUAGAUAUCUGGAGGAACACCGGGUGGCGAAGGCGACAUCCUGGACCGGUAUUGACGCUGAGGCGCGAAAGCCAGGGGAGCAAACGGG